rnacentral:siRNA from 1 species
UGAAAAGGUGAGUACAAUUGC